AUUGAACGCUGGCGGCAUGCCUUACACAUGCAAGUCGAACGGCAGCACGGGAGCAAUCCUGGUGGCGAGUGGCGAACGGGUGAGUAAUAUAUCGGAACGUGCCCAGUCGUGGGGAUAACGUAGCGAAAGCUACGCUAAUACCGCAUACGAUCUAUGGAUGAAAGCGGGGGAUCGCAAGACCUCGCGCGAUUGGAGCGGCCGAUAUCAGAUUAGGUAGUUGGUGAGGUAAAGGCUCACCAAGCCGACGAUCUGUAGCUGGUCUGAGAGGACGACCAGCCACACUGGGACUGAGACACGGCCUAGACUCCUACGGGAGGCAGCAGUGGGGAAUUUUGGACAAUGGGCGCAAGCCUGAUCCAGCAAUGCCGCGUGCAGGAUGAAGGCCU
rnacentral:rRNA from 1 species